AAUGAACGCUGGCGGCAGGCCUAACACAUGCAAGUCGAGCGAGGGGCGGAUGGGUGAGUAAUGUUUGGGGACUGCCCGAUAGAGGGGGAUAACGACUGGAAAAGGUCGCUAAUACCGCAUAGUACCGGAUACCGCAUAUGGGAUUAGCUAGUAGGUGAGGUAAUGGCUCACCUAGGACACGAUCCCUAGCUGGUCUGAGAGGAUGAUCAGCCACACUGGGAAUGAGACACGGCCCAGACUCCUACGGAGGCAGCAGUAGGGAAUAUUGCACAAUGGGCGCAAGCCUGAUGCAGCCAUGCCGCGUGUAUGAAGAAGGCCCUAGGGUUGUAAAGUACUUUCAGUCGGGAGGCGUUACCGACAGAAGAAGCACCGGCUAACUCCGUGCCAGCAGCCGCGGUAAUUC
rnacentral:rRNA from 1 species